UUGCUAUGAUGAGUACUUUCAAUUUUUAGAAUGCUUGAUGAAACAUUGGCAAUCAUGUCAGUGCUGAGCGGUUACCUGAGCAG